UUGUGGAGGAGGACGCCGAAGGUGGGGCUAAUGACUGGGGUGAAGUCGUAACAAGGUAGCCGUACCGGAAGGUGCGGCUGGAUCACCUCCUAACAGGGAGACAACAAAAUGUUUAAUAUUAUUAUUUUGUCACCUUAGGUCGAUCGGUAUCUCACGUUCUUAAUUUAUUAAGGAUUUCAUUUCCUAAGUUUUUCUAGGUCACACCCAUUAUUUUCCUGGGCCAUUAGCUCAGGUGGUUAGAGCGCACCCCUGAUAAGGGUGAGGUCCCUGGUUCAAGUCCAGGAUGGCCCAUCUCUCUAUGUUGGGGGUAUAGCUCAGUUGGUAGAGCGCCUGCUUUGCAAGCAGGAUGUCAGCGGUUCGAGUCCGCUUACCUCCACUGAUUACCACCUCUAGCAUUAUUAGUAGAAAGGAAACUUAUUGAGUUGUGAUCAAAUUCUGAACGAAUCUAGCUUCCUAAUGAAACCAUUAAGAUGCUGGACUCAUUGAAUUAAUUUCAUUGUUUUCAGAGAACCUUGACAACUGCAUAGUAAAUUUUUAAAGACAAUAAGCAUCUUUAAUGAUGCAGAUUUAUUAUUUGUGCGAAUGCAUUAAUAACAAUUCUAUUAAGCUGAUGCUUCAAUUAUUGAAGUUAUUGGUCAAGCUACAA
rnacentral:misc_RNA from 1 species